rnacentral:misc_RNA from 1 species
GGAUUAUGAUGUUUGACCUUUCAGACCAUUUUAAAGUCUCAUAGAUAUUUGAUAAGGAUUCCUUAUUGGUAAGUAGAAAAUUAAUUAUGUCAUAUUCCACCUGUUGAUUCUGAAGUUACUGUGUGCAAAGAUAUUGGUGAAGUGGUUAAAUUUACCAGACCUAGGUUCAAAUUUCAUUUCCCAGGAGAGAGGAAAUGGUGUAAGUUCCAUUUUAAACAACUCAAAGUUUUGGGCAGGAUAUUGGUGAGUGGCCGUUUCAAGCCUUCAUAACAAUCGUUG